UACGAAGGGGGCUAGCGUUGUUCGGAUUUACUGGGCGUAAAGCGCACGUAGGCGGAUCGUUAAGUCGGGGGUGAAAUCCUGGAGCUCAACUCCAGAACUGCCCUCGAUACUGGCGAUCUCGAGUCCGGAAGAGGUGAGUGGAACUCCUAGUGUAGAGGUGGAAUUCGUAGAUAUUAGGAAGAACACCAGUGGCGAAGGCGGCUCACUGGUCCGGUACUGACGCUGAGGUGCGAAAGCGUGGGGAGCAAACAGG
rnacentral:rRNA from 1 species